rnacentral:piRNA from 1 species
UGUAGUUUGCAGUUUGGGCUGCUGGCGAC